GUCACAUCGUUUUCUAUGACUAUAUUUUGCUUCAUGAACUGUUUCUUUCUCUUGAUGUAAAUUGUUGCCUCCUAUUUUUAUUCCCUUGGUUUUUGUACCAGUUAUAUUAUAGCUAACUCUCCUCUGAACAGGGUCACGAAUAUUCACUAGUCAAUCAGUCGUAUUAUUCUUAGAGACAGCAGUCCUGGGGAUCUCUGCUCUCUCUAAUCUCAUUUCUCUCUCUGCCAGCUGACGCUGUUAUCUUGGCAUUUCUGUCACAGUUAUUCUAGGAAUUGCUUUUACUCAGUACUCUCCCCCUGUGCCGUGUCCCUCAGCCCCUGGAUUUCAUAUCUCCCUCAUUCUCUGUUACUACUUCUUUUCGCUGUGGACACAUUCCCUAGCAGCCUUCUGAAAGGGCAGGUAUGGGAGGCAAGGCUUUACUGGGCCCCUGCUGCAGUAGAGAACGAAAGCAAACAACAGGUCCCCUUGCUUGAUCCCUGGCCAGGCAACGGGGGAACUUGUUCCCUGUAAGGGAUGAGGGUAGAGCUGUGCCCAGGCUUCUGAAUGGGUAACUUGACUGCAGAUGGGACAAGAAACUGUAUUCAUCCUGUCAACCUGUGAAUAUAAAACCUGACGGCGCAGUUACCUGGAAGCCGCACAGUGGACGGGGUUUUGAACCUAGAUACAUCACCCUGCAGGUGGUGGGUGUGCUGGGAGCAUCCUAGCUGACGGACCAGCUCAGGCAGCCCGUGGUUAGAGACGGUGAUUCCCGCGCGCUUCGUGUCCUGCACCCCAGUUUCCGCAGGCUGGAUGCUGCGGGUGUGAUGGGAGGCCGGGCCGCGAUGGUGGGACUUGGUGGAAAUGCGGCCACGACGAUGUGACUUUGUGGAAAUGCAGAAAGCACAUGCGUUUUCAGACUAAACUGAAUUGUUUCCUAAAAACAAAUCCCCAGUCUAUGCAGGUCACUCUCCUACCUAGGAGCUAGGAGAAUUAGCACUCCAAAAUAUUUGCGGUUAUUGAAGAGAAUGAAUGAAAUAGGACGUAGGUUGGUAAAUUUGGGGGAGAGGAGAAGCAGAAGAGAGGCAGCACAGAACCUCACAGUAGACAAUGCCUGGGUGAUAAGUCUCUCCUCUCCUCCCCUGCCUCGAGUUACUUGAGCAAUAAAAUAAUUGAUUACUCACA